rnacentral:rRNA from 2 species
GAGACCUCAGGUCAGGCGGGGCUACCCGCUGAGUUUAAGCAUAUCAAUAAGCGGAG